AUGUGGGGUAUGCUGGCAUUGAAACGCAGCGCAGACACGAGUUCGUUAAAGAUAACAAAAUCUGCAACUUGUGAGAAGAAACCGAGACGCUCGUUACCCGCUGCCUUCAGAUAUAUAUACAUAUGGUUCAGUCGCUGGUCACCGGACUGCCAUAUGCAUGAUUGCACACUGCACCGUGCGCACCAGCAUCCAGCCAUGUCGCCGUUUGCGCCUCCAUACAACACCAACGUCCUCCUGGCCGCGGUGACCGCGCUCUCGGCGGCGAUCGCCUUCGUCGCCGCGCUCCACCUCUACGCCCGGUGCUUCCUGCAGCGUCGUGCCACCACCGCCGCCGCAUUGAGCAACCCUCACGCGCUGGCGCUGGCGCUGCAGCGGCCGCCGGACGGCUACGAGCUCGAGGUGAUCACCGUCGACGCCGCGUGCGCGCCGGAGCCAGCGGGGCUGGGCGCCAAGGAGCUGGGCGCGCUGCCGGUGCUCGUGUGGGAGUCUUCGUCUGCCAAGGUGGCGGCCGCCGCCGCCGCCGAGCAUUGCGCCGUGUGCCUCGGGGAGGUGGAGGACGGCGAGCUGGGGAGGCUGCUCCCGGCGUGCAGCCAUGCGUUCCACGUCGGAUGCAUCGAUGCGUGGCUCCGACUGAGCUCCACGUGCCCGGUCUGCAGGUCGGCGGUGAGGAUGCAGGAGGAUGGGGCGGCGCCGGUGGCCUGA
rnacentral:rRNA from 1 species